GUCGCUUCAAAUCAAACAAUCGGAAGGUGAGUUUGGGUUUUCCGGAUAUGUGUUCUACGGUGGAGGUGGUGCAGGGACCGGCGGAGGGAGGGCGGGGAUGGCGAGUUUCCGACAACAACAACAACAAUAACAGCAGCAACAAUCGCGACAGAGAGGAUUUUUCGGGAUUUAUACAGAUUUAUGUGUCAAAAAGUCAAAAACCACCCAAAAAAAAAGAGGGGACCUGGUUGGUGAUGAUUUGAGAUCAUUGCUCAUUCAAUUUUGUGUUUUAUCUGUGCCUUAUCAAGAUUUUGGCAAAUCGCCAGUCAGCUGUUGAUACGUAUACCGUCUACAGACAAACAUAAGUGAUCGUUUAAGAUGAUCAUUUAUUAAUGGAGGUUCAGUAAAUGAUCAUCUUAAAGGGUAUAAGGGUUAUAGCUUUGUGGAAAAUCCCUUCAAAAUUAUUACUCAUUAUCAGGUAGAACGAUAGACAUUGGAGACGUUGGAGUUUGAUACUUUAAUUGCUAAUGGUGUUCAUCAAAUUGGGCUUUGGAGUUGAACAUUGAAGUACGGCAAGGUGGGAAUUUGAUUGUCACACAUUUGUUUAUUUGUAUUAUGUGAUAUUAUUUACAAAUUAAAAUUUAAUUUAAAUUGUCGCACAUUUGUUUAUUUGUUGUAUGCUUCAAACUUAUCGGAAUGUGAUAGUAAUGCGAAAUAUAAUAGUAUUUGUAUUGUGGCAAAGUUUGUAUCGUGGAAAAUUUGUUUGCA